UACAGAGGGUGCAAGCGUUGUUCGGAAUUACUGGGCGUAAAGGGCGCGUAGGCGGCUUGGUAAGUCAGAUGUGAAAUCCCGGGGCUCAACUCCGGAAGUGCAUUGAAACUACCUGGCUAGAGUGCAGUAGAGGUUGGUGGAAUACCUAGUGUAGAGGUGAAAUUCGUAGAUAUUAGGUGGAACACCGGUGGCGAAAGGCGGCCAACUGGGCUGCAACUGACGCUGAGGCGCGAAAGCGUGGGGAUCAAACAGG
rnacentral:rRNA from 1 species